rnacentral:misc_RNA from 1 species
GAUGAAGAACGUAGCGAAAUGCGAUAAGUAAUGUGAAUUGCAGAAUUCAGUGAAUCAUCGAAUCUUUGAACGCACCUUGCGCCUUUUGGUAUUCCGAAAGGCACACCCGUUUGAGCGUCAUGAAUACCUCAAUCUCCAUCUUUUCUUCGGAUUGAUGGGUGACUUGGAUGUUGAGCCCUGCUGGUAUGCUAUAUCAGCUGGCUUUAAACUUAUUAGCCGGCUCUGUACUGGAUCGGUUUGACUCGACGUGAUAAUAUUAUCGUUGAGGAUGCAUGUCUCAUGCAGCCGGAAAGUAUCAAAGCAGCUUCUAGCUUGCCUUUAGUGCACUUUUACAUUUUAGACCUCAGAUCAGGUGGGACUACCCGCUGAACUUAAGCAUAUCAAUAAGCGGAGGA